UUACUCAAUUUAGAAGUCAGAGUUCUUCAAAACGCCCUAAGAGAUCCGAGUUGGAUAGUUAUUUGGAUGAUGAUGUGCUUCCUGAUUUGGAGAAUAAGGAGUUUGACAUCUUGGCUUGGUGGAAGAGCAAUGCAGCAGUCUAUCCUAUACUAUCAAGAAUGGCUCGAGAUGUUCUAGCUAUUCCAGUCUCCAUUGUUUCAUCUGAGUCAGCAUUCAGCACUGGUGGUAGAGUUGUGGAUCAGUAUCGAAGCUCUUUGAGCCCUUCUACCGUAGAAGCCUUAGUGUGUACCCAAGAUUGGCUUCGUGAACAAUAUGAUGAAGUUGCAAAUUGCUCGAGUUCUGUAACGUUGAAUGUAGAUGACGACACCCUCGACUCCUGGAGUGGGCAAUUUGGGAGAACUGAAUGACGAUACCCUCCUCAUCAGAUCUAGUUCAUACCUAAAGUAUCAAGUAUCAAGCCUGAAGCUGACUUCAGGGAGUUUCUCUAUUACAAUUUACAUGGAUAUGAUGAAUAUAUUAUUGUGCAGGGAACAACGACUUCAGGCCGAUAAUUUUUUUUAUCCUCCUGUUUUUGAUGGAAUCCUUUUGUUUGGUUUCAGUUGUAUCGUUGCAGUUGGUUGCAUGGAAUGAAAUUUUUUGCAAGUUAUCUUCAAACCAUCAGAUGCUAUUUUGUUAAUGAUCCGUCUGAUUGCCUAUUUGGUCCAUCUCAUAUUUCAUUUAAGUUGA